UACGAAGGGGGCUAGCGUUGCUCGGAAUUACUGGGCGUAAAGGGCGCGUAGGCGGCACUGUUAGUCAGGCGUGAAAGUCCUGGGCUCAACCUAGGAACUGCGCUUGAUACGGCAGAGCUAGAGGAUGGAAGGAGGUCGGCGGAAUUCCCAGUGUAGAGGUGAAAUUCGUAGAUAUUGGGAAGAACACCGGUGGCGAAGGCGGCGACCUGGUCCAUUACUGACGCUGAGGCGCGACAGCGUGGGGGAGCAAACAGG
rnacentral:rRNA from 1 species